rnacentral:rRNA from 1 species
UACGUAGGGGGCAAGCGUUGUCCGGAAUCAUUGGGCGUAAAGAGCGUGUAGGCGGCCAGACAGGUCCGUUGUGAAAACUGGAGGCUCAACCUUCAGACGUCGACGGAAACCGUCUGGCUAGAGUCCGGAAGAGGAGAGUGGAAUUCCUGGUGUAGCGGUGAAAUGCGCAGAUAUCAGGAAGAACACCGAUGGCGAAGGCAGCUCUCUGGGACGGUACUGACGCUGAGACGCGAAAGCGUGGGGAGCGAACAGG